AGCACGCUGCUCUGUCAUUGCAGCUGCAAACCUUGUUGGUGGAAGGUAUGCUGGAGGAUAAUUUGAAGACUUUUUCUGGCUUGGAGGUUGGAGGUUGGAGGUUGGAGGUCUUUGGAUGGCCAAAGAAAGUGGCCCAAAGAAAUUGGUAAAUUCAAGCCCAGAGCAUUCCCAAAACCCUAAUUGUCCGUUAUGAGGAUGAGUUUCUUUUUCCUGUUAUUAAAUUCGAAGCAAUCUGGAUUUACUGCUUUUUGAUUAUUUAUGGGAUGGUAGUGGUUCCUUUUGCUUUUGAUUGGAUCUGAGUUGAAAUUUUUGUUUUCCAAUUCGGGACCUGGAAUUUGGCUCACUGAUAUCUAAAAAAGGAAAGUGAUGCAUUUAUUCUGGGCUUAUCGUGCUCUGUUUGGUUGCUGGAAUGAGUGGAAAAUGAAAAUGGAAUUUGGAAUCUUGUCAGUGGAAUCUGUUAUAAGAUUCACUUGUCUCAACAACCAAAUGGGGACUUUUUCUUUGGGACAAUUAUUGUGAUGGAUUGAUUUGGUGGAUCUUUGGUUUUUGCUGCAGGUUGGUCUUGGCUGAACACUUGUCAAGUUUUCCUAGUCCCGUUUCUUUCCGAAUUUGGCAAUAAUUGGUUAUGCCAAGUUUCAAAAUUUGCUGAUUCGUACUGAAUUGUGUUGGGUUGUGAUCUGACCUUUUUUUUUUUCUGAUGGCACAAUCAGAAACUGAAGAUUUGCAGAUGUUAUUUUGGAAGAAGUGGAGUUUAUUCUAUCAAUGCUUGUAGGAAUCAACCGGACUUAUGCAAAUAUAUAUAUAUAUAUAUAUAUAUAUAUAGAAGCUUGUAUGUUAUUAUUGGUUAUGGUUUUCGCUAUUGUUGGAGAUUUAAGCUGAAGGAGUUGAUGAUUUAGUUGGGUUAUUUUGGAAUUCUUAAGUCGGGGUUGCAUGAUUCGGACAUGAGAAGCUCCUGGUCCAAUAAACUCCCUCUCAUUUUUGGGCCUAGAUCGCCACUCAAUUGGCUGCUUUUGUGCCUCGUUAGGGUUCUUGCACUAAUUCCAGUGUUGGGAUCAUCCUCUUCAAAUACAUUUGACUCUCUAACUCCUACUUCAGUACCCGACAUCUAUACAAACUAUAGGAGGCUAAAGUAGCAAGCUGCGAUCUGGAGCUGAGGUCUCUCUCCCUAGGGGCUAGUCAACAAAGGGAGCUUGGCCUUUGUGGCAGAGAAAGAAAAUUAUGUGCCUUGUUACAAUGUUUCAGCAAACCUUUUUGUGGGGUUUAAAGAUAGGGAGGAGUUUGAUUGGCAUUGUGAAGUAUCAAGAAACAGAGAACGGUGUCUGGUUCGCCCUCCUAAGGACUAUAAGAUUCCCCGGAGGUGGCCAGCUGGUAGGGAUGUGAUAUGGAGUGGAAACGUGAAGAUAACCAAAGACCAAUUUCUUUCGUCUGGGAGCAUGACCAAAAGGUUGAUGUUACUAGAAGAAAAUCAAAUUGCCUUUCACUCUGAGGAUGGUUUGAUUUUGUAUGUUGUCGAGGAUUAUUCUCUUCAAAUUGCGAAGAUGCUAGGUUUAAAUGAUGAUUCUCAAUUUCUUCAAGCCGGUGUGCAGACUGUACUAGAUAUUGGUUGCAUUAUAGCCACCCAGUACCCACGAACUACAUGCUAGCAAGACCCAACUAAUUACACUAAUCAAUUUUUACAACAAAUUGUAGAUUCAAGAAACAAAAACUAAGAACCUGUACAACAAUUUUUACAACAAAAUUAUUCUAAAAAUUGGGUAUGUACCUCAAUCUUCAACCUCUCUGUCAGAUAGGCUUUUGGAGAAGAAUAGACAAGUGAACCUCUCCAUUCUUCAACCCACCCAAUCGCCCAGGACUGCAAAUUUCAUUCUUUUUUAGAAAACUCUUAACUCUCACCAACAACAGUGGAGGAUGGGGAUGGAUAAAUUUGGUGGAGGAAGGGAGGCAAUGGGAGAAGCAAAGUAGAGAAUACGGGGGGACUCCAACUCUCAGCCACGUUCUAGUGAUUCUCUUAUUAGAGUGCAGCAACAAUGGAGGAAGGGAGUGCUGUGGAGACGCGAGGAAGAAUUGAGAACGACGUGAGGCCACUUGCCAGGGACGUUAGGGUUAUUUAAUUUGAUUUUUAAUGUUUAAUGUUUUUUUUUUUUAAGGAUUAUUGAAAAAAGAAAAAGAAAAAAUAGAGUA